rnacentral:piRNA from 1 species
UGAUUCUCAGUGAUCAGGAGCAAGGAA